CCCGUGUUCAGCCUCGGGCCAGCCCCCAGGGCUCUGUCACUUUAAGAGGGCGAUGCCCGUGGCCAUGGUUGGCUGGGAGCGCCUAGGAUGAGGUGCCACGUCUCACCCGGGGGUGGGACCACAGGGACCGCUCGCAAUCACUGAUUUGUGGCCAGGCAGGCUCUGCCUUCUGGCUGAGAGGGCCACUGCUCUGUCUCCGGAGCCUUCUGUGGCUCCCCGACACCCUUGGUUCUACCCCAGGCCCCUGGCCAGAGCCCCGGGCACUCACUCUUCCUCCUGCACUCCAGGUGCCCCCGGUUCCCACCACCUGGGCCUCUGCUCCUCUGCCAGGAGCAGCAGCUCCUCCUUCCUUCCUGCUGCAGGCCCCGCAUGCCUUCCAUACCCAGCUCAAAUGUCAGCCCCUCGGUGCCGACCACAUCUCCCUCCUCUAUGACCACGUCUGACUCGCCGACCUGAUUCAGCAGCCACUUCCCGAGGCUCCUCCACCAUGGGGCCCCUUGCUGGCCAGUGCUGGAGGUGGGGCUGUCACAGGGACUGAAAAAUACAGGUGUGCGAUGUCAGCAAGGUUGGGGGAAUGAGGAGGCUGGCAGGACCCAAAGCUGCGACAUCUGCCUGGAGGCAGGGACGAGGGGGCGUCUGAGAGUGCUGCUCCAUGGCCCUGCUCAGCCUGCUGGGGGCUGCGAUGCUCGAACACGUGAGUGCCCGUCGGUGGUCUCGCCCUGGAGGAAGGUGCCAAGGCAGCCAGCUUCGACCACCUCGCGGACCCCAGCCGGAGGGUACCGAUCCCUAGAGGUCAGGCGUCUGAUUCCAUCUUUCUUGGACCGAAAUUAGUCCUCAUUCAAGUGCCCGCAGAGCAUGCGGACAGGAAGGCAGCCCAGCGCGGGGGCACGCAGGCUCUGUGGGAGUCAGUGUUUGCCCUCAGGAUGCUCUUCUGGAUUCAGUGCCUGUUUCCAGCAACAAGCUGCCCUGUGGCUGUGAAUGCACCUUGGACGGUGGCGAAGGAAACUGGAGAAGAAGAAAUAUUGCUCAGAGCACGGAGGUGAGUGAGGCCUCCCACCUAUGCCGUCUCGGCCCUAUCUCAUCUCCGUCACUCGAGCGGUGGUUCUGGCAUUUGAAACGUCAGGGUGAGGAGGGGGCUGAUGGCAGGCAGACAAUGGAACUUGGGGUUAUGACUGAGUUACUCGACGGAAGGACCAUGAAAACCCGAGGGCAACGCGUGCACGCCAGGGACUUGAGCAAGAAAGCCAGUCCCUUGCGGCUCCCAGAGAGAGGUGAGCUCCAGGGUGACCAUCAGGUGUCCAAGCCUCUGGUGCGGGGCUGCCGCCAUGGCCCUGCUCAGGAAAACCUGGGACCCCGACGGUGGAGCCGGGACAGCUGGAUGGACGCCCCCGGGAUGCUGAGUUCCAGCCUGAGCUUUACGGGCGCUCUGAGCCUGCGUGGGAGCAGACCCCUUCCCUGUGAGGAGCCGGGUCCUUUCCUGGCUUCCAAGCCAGC
rnacentral:lncRNA from 1 species